UAUUUCUAGAUUAAGUGUUGCCCCUUUAAAGUUUUAUAUUUAUUCACACAGAAUUAAACAGAAAAACUCCAACAUCUGGUGUUAAAUUGUUUGAACCAACUGCUAAAUCACGAGUCAGAUUAUACUUAUCGUAAUGCAUUUCAAAUUAUUCUGUAUUUUCUUAUCAGUUUCCUUUAAAAGGGUAUCCUUUACUGAUACUGAAAGUUUCAGUUUGACAGUAGAUACGUAAAUGUUUUUGUUUUUUUUUUAAAAGAGGGGCUGUUUUGUACAAGCAGGUUGUUAUAUAUUUUAGAAAGUACACCUCUGUUGGUAGGAUUAUACUGUAGUAGGGAUUUAAUUGGAGACUUAGGGUAAUAAUGGAAAGCCAGACAAUCUACUACGCACAAAGUCCCUAAUCUGUAAAUAAUGAAAAAAAUAUCUAUGUGGUAGAUCAAAUUUAUUAGACAGCUGAUCAAAGGAGGCAAAGGUGCCAUCAAUGUACAGAUCUCUUAAGGGUUUUAAUACCAGAAUGGUGCCAAUUACCAAAGGCUGAAUAUUUCAAUGGGGGGGGACAGGUGAUAGGUGAUUUGUAUGCAAUGAUUCAGUUAAAGUAUAGACUGUGAGCCGAAGUGAUAUCUGCACUGUGCCCAGAUCUUUAACCCUUUGCGGUCCUAUGUCGGACCUGGUCCGACAUUGCAAUUAUUCCUAUCAGGUCCAAUGUCAGACCCUGUCUGACAUCAUGAAAAAGAUGCAAAAAACAGGUUUUUAGUUGUUUUUUCUAUGGAAAAAGCUGAGAAAACCAUUCAAUGGCCGACAGGAGCCGAGACAAGCCGAAAAAAAUAAAAAGGGCGUAUCUCAUGAUUAGUCAUACUUGCCCCUGGUAUUAGAUAGGGGCGGCCAUAAGGAAACAAGCUGCCUGUUACUGAACCAGCGCACAAAGAAUAACACGGACAUUUGCAGAGCUUUUUUGAGAUGUUAUAGUAAUAAAAUAAUGACUUGGAUCGCAUUAUUGAGGAGUUUGGUGAUAAAACGAGUGAUCAGGAGAUGAUCGAUCGGUAUGUACGACUAUUAUUAUUUAUUUCUUAGCAUAUGUGAAAGCUAUAGCGAACGAAAGGGUGGGGCGGGGCUGGAGAUGCCUAGUGAGUGCUUUGUUAAUAUGCAGGGCCUUUUAAACCUGUUUGACUGUGGGGAAAAAAAAUACUUUUAAACAGCGCGUCUAAAAUUAACUGCGCGUGUGAAAAUAAAUUGGACCUGACGCGCCUGACACGCACUUAAUAAAUGGACUGCAAAGGGUUAAUGAGUUCUGAACAACAGGAUUGACACUGAGGCAAGAGUAGGAUAGAGGAAGGGAGGAACACAAAAGAGCAGUCGGAGAAGAGGAAACGCAGGAAUCUGCUUCAAUUGUCAGCCACACACACGGGUGGACUGCUGUGUACAUGACUGCCUCCAGAAUGUUUGAGUAUGAAUGUUCACCGCCCAAUAGUACAACUGGAAAUUAGACAGCGCAAGUCCACCCAAUGAUUUAGAUCCUUGGAGGAGUGUCUUUUUAAUUCAAGGCUGCUGCUUGUUCCAAAUAAAUGAGGAAAUCAUGUGAUCGAGAGAGUUAAAAAAGGAUUUUACUAUUAGCGGGAAUGCACUGAAAGAGAUAUAGAAAUUUCAGAAGUGUUCAUUUUCACUUAAUUAAUUCGUCCCAUCAAUGAUAGAGGGCGUGUCGACCAGCAAGUGAUGUCUUGUUUGGUGUGUUCCAGAAGGGCAGAAAAUCGUGUUUAAACAGGUUUUCAAAGGAAUGUGUAAUUCCUAGAUAUGUGAAUUUGUGAAAUUGUGAAGGGCCAAUUGUCAAAACAGCUCUGAUAAGCAGCAGUUAAUAGAAAACAUUAUACUUCUGUGCAGAUUAAGUUUAUACCCAGAGAUUUUGCAAAAGUCAUCAAUAAUAAGCAGGGCAUGACAAAGAGAAGAAGCAGGGUUAGAAAUAUAUAGUAAAAGGUCAUCUGCAUAUAAAGAGACUUUCUGCUCUAACUCGCCUCGUAUCACUCCCUGAAUUUCCCAACUAUCCCACAUGCAAAAAGGAGCGUAGAAAGGGGGCCACCUUGUUUAGUGCCGUGGUGGAGUGUAAAGUAUUCCAAAUUUGUGUUAUUUGUGCAGACUGAGGCCUCGGGGUAUGAAUAUAGCAGUUUAAUCUAAGAUAUGAAUUUGCAGCCAAAAUUUAAUUUGUGUAGGGUGGCAAAUUAAAUAAUCCCAUUCAAAUGCCUUUUCAGCGUCCAAGAGACAUACCUCGGGGGAUUGUGAAGUGGAUUGAGUAUAUAUCACAUUAAAUAGACGCCGGAGGUUAAAGAAAGACUGCCUAUCCCUAACAAACCCUAUCUGAUCCAAUGAAAUAAUAGAAGUGUGUGCGUCACUGUGGAUCUUUGGUCAUCCUGCCAGAUUAAAUCUUUCCUGAGCAUCUGUCUCAAGGAUGGCUGGUGGAUGACAUCACGGACCAGGAAGAAGUGCAAAACAAAAGUGAUGACAUUUGAGCUGUGGGAAAUCUGAACACCUUUUCUCAUACAAUCGCUACAGUCACAUCAGUUGAAUGUCAGAAUCAAAAUGCUGGUGCUAAAACGGUCCAAUUUCCCUACAUAAGGUCUGUAAACUCACCAUUCAAGGAAGUAUUGAUACAAGCAGAUGAAGUUCCAAUGAAUGUUUCAAAUUUUCAUUAAAUCAGUUUUCUUUGUUGAUCCUUUUCCAUUCACUCUGUACCAUACUGUUCUGUCCAUUUAAAAUGUCUUACAUGCUAAAAUGUUUUUGUUUGAGCAAAUUAAAUAAACUUACAAUAUAUUAAUAUGAUGGUGUGUUUUUGUGUUUUUUUACACUAAAACCUCAUUUAACCAAAGUUUGAAAAUCCAUUUUACCUCAAUAUUAUCACUGGCUUCUUUUUUUCUGUAGAUCUUUUGGCUUUACUUGUUUUUUAAACUUCUAUACUAUACAAUAAUUCAAAGACUGUAUUAAUCACUUGAAACAUUGUAAUUCAAACUCACUCCAUUUGUCUAGCUUGUAGCGGACAGUGUAGUCAAAUCAGGUUAUUGCUGGAUAUUAAUAUACACUGUUUAAACUUGUUU